rnacentral:lncRNA from 1 species
GAACAGGCAGAGGCAGUUCAGGGGUAUUCUGGUUGCCUUACCCAGCUCUGAAGUCUGUCAGCCUCUUCAGAUGUCACUUGCCAUGUGGUAAGGAAGUGUAGUCAGCAGCUGGUGCAGUGGGAAGAAGAGAAAGGAAGUUCCCCAAGACAAAAACAUCUCGGCAGGUAAAGAGAAAUUCCCUAGAGCCCCUAUCAUGGGAUCAGCUAGUUGGAAGCAGGUGGCAUUCCUGGGUAGUUUCUUUCCCUUCCAGUGGCCAGGAUGGUUAAGCCUUGGUGUGCUUGUGUGUCUGAUUGCCCCAUUCAUUGGAAACCAGACCGAUGGUUUCAGGAACUCUGAGUGUGUUGUUCCCCUCUAUGUGUCCAUGUGAUCUCAUCAUUUAGCUCCCACUUAUAAGAGAACAUGGAGGUAUUUGGUUUUCUGUUCCUGUGUUAGCUUGCUAAGAAUAAUGGACUGCAGCUCCAUUCAUGUCCCUGCAAAGACAUCAUCUGGUUCUUCUUUAUAGCUGCGUUGUAUUCCAUGGUAUAUAUGUGCCACAUUUUCUUUAUACAGUCUAUUGUUGAUGGACAAUUGAGAUUGAUUCCAUGUUUUUGCUAUUGUGAAUAGUGCUGCAGUGAACAUAUGUGUUCAGGUGUCUUUAUAACAGAGUGAUUUAUAUUCCUUUGGAUAUAUACUUAGAAAUGGGAUUGUUGGGUCAAAUGGAAGUUCUGUCUUUAGGUCUUUUAGGAAUCACCACACUGUCUUCCACAGUGGUUAAACUAAUUUACACUCCCACCAACAUUGUAUAAGUGUUCCUUUUUCUCCACAAUCUUGCCAGUCUCUGUUAUUUGUUUGACCAUUUGUUAUUUCUUAUAUUUGACUUUUUAAUAUAGCCAUUCUGGCGGGUGUUAGAUUGUAUUUGAUGUUGUUUUUGAUUUGCAUUGCUCUAGUAAUGAGUGACGUUGAGAAGAUUCAAAUAAAUGCAAUCUUGGUUUUAUUUGAUAAAACCUUGUUGAUAAAAACAACAAGGGUGAUAUUACCACCGACCCCACAGAAAUAUAAACAACCAUCAGAGAAUGUAAUGAACACCUCCAUGGACAUAAACUAGAAAAUCUAGAAAGAAUGAAAAAUUCCUGCACAAAUACACCCUCCCAAGACUGAACCAGGGAGGAACUGAAUCCCUAAACAGACCAAGAAUGGCUCUGAAAUUGAGUCAGUAAUAAAUAGUCUCAGUGACAAAUUUUUAAAAUGCCACUUAGAAAAUGUACACAUAAUUUUGUUCUAUUCAGCAAAUAUAUUUGUAACAAUCAGUUUUAGGAAGGGUGUUAAAAUAUUUUAUUAUUUUUUCUCAUUUAGCUUAAUAUUUUAAAAAUAUUUUUCUGCUGGCAACUAUUUGUAUCUCCAUUUUCAUUGACAUAGUCAGUAUAUACCCACCUUCUAUUAAAUAAUAGUGGAUCAA